UUUAUUAGAGGAUAAAUUAGGUGGAUUCUGAAUAUUAGAUUUCAAAGUAACAUGAGAUAUACCACUAGAAAAGGAAUCUCACAAAUAAAUCGAAGUUAAAUUAAACCGAGGGGUUGAAAAUUGAAAGUGAGAUAAUCCUGAGAAGCUGGUAAAGCAUAAGGUGACAAAGCAUACAUCUUUAUUCUUCUUAAAAUAUUUAACUGGAAUUAACAAACAAUUGCGAAAAAGACAAACAUUUAUUUUUAAAUUCUCUAAUAAUCAAACUCAAUAUGGUCGUUCUAAAAAUAAAUUGGAACAGCACAGAAAAGUGUUUUUAACUGUUCAUUUAGAAGUUAAUGUAAUAGAACGAAGUUCAAACUCUCUAAUGCUUAUCACAUUCGUGUUCCUUUGAAUUGUUACAACAAAGAAAUUGGGAAAAUGUAAAAAAAUAAAUCAAAUAAAUAAAAAGAAAGGAAAGUCGAAAAAAUUAACAAAGGGAAAGGAAAUGGAGAGCUUUAACUCAAAGAAAAACGAAGAUAUACCAACAAUAGGGUGAUAAACCAAAACCAAUGAUUGGAUUGUACAGAUGACAGACUAACCUAACCUGAAUAAUGGCAACGUAUAAAUACAAUGAAACAAAACACUAGAAAAUCGAGAAGAUCCUGUAAAUAAAGGCUAUAAAAAUAAUCACAGAGAUAAAAGAAAAGCCAAUCGGGAUAAAAAAAUGAAAUUAGUGAAAGGGAUGAAAGUAAAGAACUGCCACAAAAACAACAAGAAAGUUUUUUAUUGUCAUCUGUGAAGUUAUUGGAUUAUUUACUAGGGAUUAUAAUUAUAAUUCAGUGUUACCAAGUCCGAGAGAAGCAAGAAGAAGUGGCUAAAAGUUUACGACUAAAUAAGUCCCAUAUUUUUAAAAGACUAAAGCCAAUAUUAGUUCAAGGACCCUGAAAAGAUGGUUAAUGGAAUGGGGGUUCGUUUGACCCCAGAGCUAUGCUA